rnacentral:rRNA from 1 species
AGCAGCCGCGGUAAUUCCAGCUCCAAUAGCGUAUAUUAAAGUUGUUGCAGUUAAAAAGCUCGUAGUUGAAUUUCGGGGUCUGUCCGUCGGUCGGGCUUCACAGUCCGUACUGGUGUGAUGGGUUCCUACCUUCUGAAUAACCGGCAUGCCAUUCAGUUGGUGCGCCGAGGAAGCAGAGCUAUUACCUUGAAAAAAUUAGAGUGCUUAAAGCAGGCUAGUGCUUGAAUAGAUUAGCAUGGAAUAAUAAAAUAGGACGGCAUGGUUCUAUUUUGUUGGUUUCUAGGAUCACCGUAAUGAUUAAUAGGGAUAGUUGGGGGCAUUAGUAUUCAAUUGUCAGAGGUGAAAUUCUUGGAUUUAUUGAAGACUAACUUCUGCGAAAGCAUUUGCCAAGGAUGUUUUCAUUAAUCAAGAACGAAAGUUAGGGGAUCGAAGACGAUCAGAUACCGUCGUAGUCUUAACCAUAAACUAUAGCCGACUAGGGAUCGGACGAUGUUAAUUUUUAAUGACUCGUUCGGCCG